rnacentral:rRNA from 1 species
GAUGAACGCUAGCGGCAGGCUUAACACAUGCAAGUCGAGGGGUAUAGUUCUUCGGAACUAGAGACCGGCGCACGGGUGCGUAACGCGUAUGCAAUCUACCUUUUGCAGAGGGAUAGCCCAGAGAACUUUGGAUUAAUACCUCAUAGUAUGUGAGAAUGGCAUCAUUUUCACAUUAAAGUCACAACGGCAAAAGAUGAGCAUGCGUCCCAUUAGCUUGUUGGUAAGGUAACGGCUUACCAAGGCAACGAUGGGUAGGGGUCCUGAGAGGGAGAUCCCCCACACUGGUACUGAGACCCGGACCAGACUCCUACGGGAGGCAGCAGUGAGGAAUAUUGGACAAUGGGCGCAAGCCUGAUCCAGCCAUGCCGCAUGCAGGAUGACGGUCCUAUGGAUUGUAAACUGCUUUUGUACAGGAAGAAACACUGGUUCGUGAACCAGCUUGACGGUACUGUAAGAAUAAGGAUCGGCUAACUCCGUGCCAGCAGCCGCCGUAACAC